GUCCGCUAGAGGCUGACGCCGACAGAACUACACUUUGGUAGGACGCCUAAACGUGUCUCUGUAAAUUAGCAGUCUUUAAGGAAACAGGGCCGAGCAUCCAGCAGGAAGGGAUUCCUUCAAGCUCAGACAUCAACAACAUCCCGAAUAUUAAAGCCAUAGAGUAAAGUCAGAGGAAUGGGCGCGAGGAUGGAAAUUAUGCCAGACUUACCCUCUGCCAAGGUACAAUAAGCCAGGUUGACAGAGACUCUCCCCGAAAAACAGUGGAUAAGUAAAGACGGGGCCCAGCCAGGCCCAAACAUCCUGACGGAGAGAGGCUUUUCCCUUAUCAGUCAGGAAACACCGCUCCUCCGCCACAUCCUCUUUACAAGAAGCACGACUCAACCAUUCCCAAAAAAUGCAGGAAGACCAGCCAGACUCCAGGAUUUGUCAAAAGCCCCCUGAAUUCCUUUUAUCGAAAAAAGAAAAAUUCAAGA